GGCACCCGUAGUUGGGAACCGUGGAACCCUGGUCCCGGGCGGUGUCGCGGCUCGGAGGCUCGGGUGGUCCUCGUGCCGGCUGGGCUGCCGCUCGCCCCGGGAGGGGAACGCGAGCUUGGGCCGGACCCGCGGGCGACGCGCGGAGCGGCUGGUCCAGUCAUGGCUGACUACUGGAAGUCACAACCAAAGAAAUUCUGUGAUUACUGCAAGUGCUGGAUAGCGGACAAUAGGCCUAGUGUUGAAUUUCAUGAAAGAGGAAAGAAUCAUAAAGAAAAUGUUGCAAAGAGGAUCAGUGAGAUUAAACAGAAAAGCCUGGAUAAGGCAAAGGAAGAAGAAAAGGCAUCAAAGGAGUUUGCUGCAAUGGAGGAAGCUGCCCUGAAAGCAUACCAAGAGGAUUUGAAAAGGCUUGGCUUAGAGUCAGAAAUUUCAGAGCCAAGCAUAUCACCAAAAACCAGCACUGUCCCACCCAUCUCUGCAUCAAAUCAGCAGAAAGAAAAGAAGAAAAAGAAAAAAGACCCUUCAAAGGGCAGAUGGGUAGAAGGCAUAACCUCUGAAGGUUACCAUUACUAUUAUGAUCUUAUCACUGGAGCAUCUCAAUGGGAGAAACCUGAAGGAUUUCAAGGAAACUUAAAAAAGACAGCAGGGAAGGCUGUUUGGGUUGAAGGUUUAAGUGAAGAUGGUUACACCUAUUAUUAUAAUACAGAAACAGGAGAAUCCAGAUGGGAAAAACCUGAUGAUUUUAUUCCACACUCUGGCGAUCUGCUUUCUAGUAAAGUCAAUGAAAAGUCACUUGGUGCCCUGGAAGAAUCCAAAUCAUCAAAUUCACAUAGUAAUUCUGAUGGGGAACAGGAAGAACAAAAAGUAGAGGUCUCUACAGAAACACCGAAGCUAAAAAUAAAGUUUAAGGUAAAAAAUAAAAAUAGUGAUAAAGUAAAUGAAGGCAAGAUCCUCCUUUCUGAAAAACAGAAAGAAACAAAUAUCCAAGAGCAGAAUUCAUCAGGUUCAAAUGAAGAAAAAUCCAAAGCUCAUAAAAAAUCAAACCCAUAUGGAGAAUGGAAAGAAAUUAAACAAGAAGUUGAGUCUCAGUAAAAGUAAUGCAAGUUUUGGAACUUUAUAUACCUGUUCUAAUUAGAAAUGAUUCUCUAGGGGGUAACACACCAUUAAAAUGGUACUAGGAUAGAUUCCGGUCACCAUAGUGGCAUAGGUAAAUGUAGUACUCCAAUCUUCCCACAACCACAUCAAAAUUACAACUAAACUGCAGAACAACCAUCAUUCGGAACUGCCUGAAAUCUAGCUGAACAGAAGUCCUACAGCUAAGGAUAUGAUGAAGCCACAUUGAGACUGGUAGGAGGAGUGGACACCCAGAAAGUUUGGUCCCACUGAUAAAAAUUGGGAGAGAUAUCUCAGCUGUGGGGGUCCCCCUGAGGAGUGAGGGGUUCCAGUCCCACACCAGACUGCCCACCAGGUGCUGCUUGUUUGAGAAAUUGGGUUCCAGUAACACAGAGAGAAAUUAUCAUAACUUCUGGCUGUAAAAACCAGUAGGGAUUAUGGUUCAGUGAGCUGGAGGGCUGCUGGAGUCCCAGGCAUUUCUCUUAAAGGGCCAGUGCGCAGACUUUCUCAGCUCACUCACUUCUCCAGCACUGGGCCAGCUGCUCAAAAGGCACCAGGGUUAUAAGGGGAGGAACUGAAUUGUCUGCAGUCAGGGCAAGCACUGGAGGGGCAACUUUCUCCCAUACAGAAGUGCUGGUAGAAUGGUGGCAACAGGAGGGUGUUCCUUUUCUGAGCCCUCCCACCAUAGAUCCAGUAGGCGGGCACCAUAUCUGAGUCUCCAUCAACCUGGCUGUCACCCUGAUCCCUGAGACCCAAGCCCACCCAAAUUGUAGGUCCACCCAAGCUGUUUGCAAUGGCUUUUCCUUAUGAACAACUUGUCUUGGCGCAUAACUUCAGACAUUACUAAAAUUUCUCAAACAAGCAGCAUCUAGCAUCUGUGUGCCCCUUACCUCAUGCAAAGUUGCCACAGGCCCAGCACUAGCAGCAGCCAGCCUUGGUUCUCAGAUUGGCCUCACUUCAGCACCUCCAAGCCCAGCACAAGUAGCAGCUAUCUAAGAAUCACUUUGUAAGUCAUGCUGAUGGCCCUGGGGGACAACACAGGCAGCAGCUGACCUUUGCCUGCACUUUCCGGGAGACACCUAAGCCAGCAUACCUGGUGCACAGCAUCAGACCAUGUUGAAGCACCACCCGGCUGCCUCCACAAGAAACACAUUCAAGCAGCAUACUCAAGAGGCUUCAGAGCCCUACUGAAUGAGGAGGUAGAUUUGGAACUUCCAAGCACUGAAAAUGAAUAUUUAUCAACUUCAGAAGCUGCUGUUGGUGAGGAACCCAAAGUAGUUUUUAAAGAAAAAACAGUCACUUCUCUUGGAGUCGUGGCAGAUGGAGUGGCCC